rnacentral:rRNA from 1 species
AUUGAACGCUGGCGGUAGGCUUAACACAUGCAAGUCGAGCGGAAACGAAGGGUGCUUGCAUCCAGGCGUCGAGCGGCGGACGGGUGAGUAACGCGUGGGAAUUUGCCUAAUAGUGGGGGAUAGCCCAGAGAAAUUUGGAUUAAUACCGCAUAAUCUCUACGGAGUAAAGGUGGCCUCUCCUUGGAAGCCAUCGCUAUUAGAUAAGCCCGCGUUGGAUUAGCUUGUUGGUGAGGUAAAGGCUCACCAAGGCGACGAUCCAUAGCUGGUCUGAGAGGAUGAUCAGCCACACUGGAACUGAGACACGGUCCAGACUCCUACGGGAGGCAGCAGUGGGGAAUAUUGGACAAUGGGCGCAAGCCUGAUCCAGCCAUGCCGCGUGUGUGAAGAAGGCCUUAGGGUUGUAAAGCACUUUCAGUUGUGAGGAAAGGGGUGUAGUUAAUAGCUGCAUUCUGUGACGUUAACAACAGAAGAAGCACCGGCUAACUUCGUGCCAGCAGCCGCGGUAAUACGAGGGGUGCAAGCGUUAAUCGGAAUUACUGGGCGUAAAGCGUGCGUAGGCGGUUUGUUAAGCAAGAUGUGAAAGCCCAGGGCUCAACCUGGGAACUGCAUUUCGAACUGGCAGGCUAGAGUAUGGUAGAGGUAAGUGGAAUUUCCUGUGUAGCGGUGAAAUGCGUAGAUAUAGGAAGGAACACCAGUGGCGAAGGCGACUUACUGGACCAAUACUGACACUGAGGUGCGAAAGCGUGGGGAGCAAACGGGAUUAGAUACCCCGGUAGUCCACGCCGUAAACGAUGUCUACUAGCCGUUGGGAGACUUGAUCUCUUAUUGCCGCAGCUAACGCAUUAAGUACCCCACCUGGGGAGUACGAUCGCAAGGUUGAAACUCAAAGGAAUUGACGGGGGCCCGCACAAGCGGUGGAGCAUGUGGUUUAAUUCGAUGCAACGCGAAGAACCUUACCAGGUCUUGACAUCCUGCGAACUUUCUAGAGAUAGAUUGGUGCCUUCGGGAACGCAGUGACAGGUGCUGCAUGGCUGUCGUCAGCUCGUGUUGUGAAAUGUUGGGUUAAGUCCCGCAACGAGCGCAACCCUUAUCCUUAUUUGCCAGCACGUAAUGGUGGGAACUCUAGGGAGACUGCCGGUGAUAAACCGGAGGAAGGUGGGGACGACGUCAAGUCAUCAUGGCCCUUACGGCCUGGGCUACACACGUGCUACAAUGGGCAGUACAGAGGGAUGCAAACUCGCGAGAGUAAGCGGACCCCAGAAAGCUGUUCGUAGUCCGGAUUGGAGUCUGCAACUCGACUCCAUGAAGUCGGAAUCGCUAGUAAUCGCGGAUCAGAAUGCCGCGGUGAAUACGUUCCCGGGCCU